rnacentral:rRNA from 1 species
CCAGACUCCUACGGGAGGCAGCAGUGAGGAAUAUUGGUCAAUGGGCUUACGCCUGAACCAGCCAAGUCGCGUGAGGGAAGACUGCCCUAUGGGUUGUAAACCUCUUUUGUCAGGGAGCAAUUGGCGCUACGUGUAGCGUUAUCGAGAGUACCUGAAGAAAAAGCAUCGGCUAACUCCGUGCCAGCAGCCGCGGUAAUACGGAGGAUGCGAGCGUUAUCCGGAUUUAUUGGGUUUAAAGGGUGCGUAGGCGGCCCGGAAGGUCAGCGGAAAAAGCCGGGGGCUCACCCCCGGCGAGCCGUUGAAACUGUCGGACUAGAGACGGCGAGAAGUACGCGGAAUGCGCGGUGUAGCGGUGAAAUGCAUAGAUAUCACGCAGAACUCCGAUUGCGAAGGCAGCAUACCGGCGCUCAACUGACGCUCAUGCACGAAAGUGUGGGUAUCGAACAGGAUUAGAUACCCCAGUA